rnacentral:rRNA from 1 species
CCUACGGGAGGCAGCAGUGAGGAAUUUUCCGCAAUGGGCGAAAGCCUGACGGAGCAAUACCGCGUGAGGGAUGAAGGAUUUUGGUCUGUAAACCUCUUUUCUCAAGAAAGAAGUUCUGACGGUACUUGAGGAAUAAGCAUCGGCUAACUCCGUGCCAGCAGCCGCGGUAAUACGGGGGAUGCAAGCGUUAUCCGGAAUGAUUGGGCGUAAAGCGCCUGUAGGUUGUUUAUUAAGUCCGUUGUUAAAGCCUAGGGCUCAACCCUAGAAAAGCAAUGGAAACUAGUAGACUAGAGUAUGGCAGGGGUAGAGGGAAUUUCUAGUGUAGCGGUGAAAUGCGUAGAUAUUAGAAAGAACACCGGUGGCGAAAGCGCUCUACUGGACCAUUACUGACACUCAGAGGCGAAAGCUAGGGUAGCAAAAGGGAUUAGAUACCCCUGUAGUCCUAGCCGUAAACGAUGGAUACUAGAUGUUGUGCAUUAUGUACAGUAUCGUAGCUAACGCGUUAAGUAUCCCGCCUGGGGAGUACGCUCGCAAGGGUGAAACUCAAAGGAAUUGACGGCUGAGACCGNGCGACGACGACACGAGGAGAG